rnacentral:RNase_P_RNA from 1 species
GGAGAGGAGCAGAUGGUCGCUCCGGUAUUUGCCGGGGAGGAAAGUCCGGACACCACAGGACAGGGUGCUCCGUAACACGGAGGCGUUGUGAGGCGAUGGAUAGUGCAACAGAGAGUAAUCUGCCGAUGGUCUUAUUAAAGACACAGGCGAUGGUGAAACGGUGUGGUAAGAGCACACCAGGCUUCAUAGAAAUAUGAGGUGCUUUGUAAACCCCACCCGGUGCAAGACCGAAUAGGAGGGAAGAGUAGUCCUGCUCGCUUGACCCUCGGGUAGGUCGCUUAGAUAGAUGACCAUCCAAACAGAAUCCGGCUUACGCUCCUCUCCAUAC